AACGAACGCUGGCGGCAGGCUUAACACAUGCAAGUCGAGCGAACCCUUCGGGGUUAGCGGCGGACGGGUGAGUAACGCGUGGGAACAUACCCUUUUCUGCGGAAUAGCCACUGGAAACGGUGAGUAAUACCGCAUACGCCCUUCGGGGGAAAGAUUUAUCGGUGAAGGAUUGGCCCGCGUUAGAUUAGGUAGUUGGUGGGGUAACGGCCUACCAAGCCUACGAUCUAUAGCUGGUUUUAGAGGAUGAUCAGCCACACUGGGACUGAGACACGGCCCAG
rnacentral:rRNA from 1 species